CAUUUGUAAAGGCAAACUCAGUGAAAGCCGAGGACGCAAAGCUACGAGUCUAAAGCCUCGGCAGAGGUAAAGAUAGUCGGGUUGCCAUG
rnacentral:ncRNA from 1 species